GACGACCGCUGGCGGCGUGCUUAACGCAUGCAAGUCGAACGGUAAGGCCCCUUUGGGGGUACCUGCUCGGCGAUCGGCUGUGUAAUACUUGCGAAAGCUGCCCUCCUUUUCGUUCUCACAGACGGAACCAACGGCUAAUACCGGACAUUCAUCACCUCCUUCCUGGGGGGAGGUGCUAAACUCCGGCGGUCAGGGAUGGGCUCGCGGCCUAUCCGCUUGUUGUUGAGGUACUGGCUCAUCAAGGCUUCGACGGGUAGCCGCCCUGCGAGGGUGACCGGCCACACUGGUACUGAGAUACGGCCCAGACUCCUACGGGAGGCAGAAGUGGGGAAUAUUGCACAAUGGGCGCAAGCCUGAUGCAGCAACGCCGCGUGCGGGAUGACGGCCUUCGGGUUGUAAACCGCUUUCAGGAGGGACGAAGUGUGACUGACGGUACCUACAGAAGAAGGACCGGCUAACUACGUG
rnacentral:rRNA from 1 species